GUGCCAGCCGCCGCGGUAAUACGGAGGGGGCAAGCGUUACUCGGAAUUAUUGGGCGUAAAGGGCGCGUAGGCGGUCGUGCGCGUCGGAGGUGAAAUCCCCGGGCUCAACCCGGGAACUGCCUCCGAUACGGCACGGCUUGAGUCCGGGAGAGGGGAGCGGAAUUCCCAGUGUAGCGGUGAAAUGCGUAGAUAUUGGGAGGAACACCGGUGGCGAAGGCGGCUCCCUGGACCGGUACUGACGCUGAGGCGCGAAAGCGUGGGGAGCAAACAGGAUUAGAAACCCGUGUAGUCC
rnacentral:rRNA from 1 species